UACGUAGGGUGCGAGCGUUGUCCGGAAUUAUUGGGCGUAAAGAGCUUGUAGGCGGUUUGUCGCGUCUGCUGUGAAAUCUCAAGGCUCAACCUUGAGCUUGCAGUGGGUACGGGCAGACUAGAGUACUGCAGGGGAGACUGGAAUUCCUGGUGUAGCGGUGGAAUGCGCAGAUAUCAGGAGGAACACCGGUGGCGAAGGCGGGUCUCUGGGCAGUAACUGACGCUGAGGAGCGAAAGCGUGGGGAGCGAACAGG
rnacentral:rRNA from 1 species